GUGGAAGCGUCUGGAAAGGCGCGCGAUACAGGGUGACAGCCCCGUACACAAAAAUGCACAUGCUGUGAGCUCGAUGAGUAGGGCGGGACACGUGGUAUCCUGUCUGAAUAUGGGGGGACCAUCCUCCAAGGCUAAAUACUCCUGACUGACCGAUAGUGAACCAGUACCGUGAGGGAAAGGCGAAAAGAACCCCGGCGAGGGGAGUGAAAAAGAACCUGAAACCGUGUACGUACAAGCAGUGGGAGCACGCUUAGGCGUGUGACUGCGUACCUUUUGUAUAAUGGGUCAGCGACUUAUAUUCUGUAGCAAGGUUAACCGAAUAGGGGAGCCGAAGGGAAACCGAGUCUUAACUGGGCGUUAAGUUGCAGGGUAUAGACCCGAAACCCGGUGAUCUAGCCAUGGGCAGGUUGAAGGUUGGGUAACACUAACUGGAGGACCGAACCGACUAAUGUUGAAAAAUUAGCGGAUGACUUGUGGCUGGGGGUGAAAGGCCAAUCAAACCGGGAGAUAGCUGGUUCUCCCCGAAAGCUAUUUAGGUAGCGCCUCGUGAAUUCAUCUCCGGGGGUAGAGCACUGUUUCGGCAAGGGGGUCAUCCCGACUUACCAACCCGAUGCAAACUGCGAAUACCGGAGAAUGUUAUCACGGGAGACACACGGCGGGUGCUAACGUCCGUCGUGAAGAGGGAAACAACCCAGACCGCCAGCUAAGGUCCCAAAGUCAUGGUUAAGUGGGAAACGAUGUGGGAAGGCCCAGACAGCCAGGAUGUUGGCUUAGAAGCAGCCAUCAUUUAAAGAAAGCGUAAUAGCUCACUGGUCGAGUCGGCCUGCGCGGAAGAUGUAACGGGGCUAAACCAUGCACCGAAGCUGCGGCAGCGACGCUGAUGCGUUGUUGGGUAGGGGAGCGUUCUGUAAGCCUGUGAAGGUGUGCUGUGAGGCAUGCUG
rnacentral:rRNA from 1 species